rnacentral:lncRNA from 1 species
GUUGAACUGUAGUGAUUUCCCUGAAGAAUCAGAUUAUACUCUAGGCAUUUUGUGUGCACCUGAGAGCAAUGUGGAUCAGUCUUACACAUAACACAAACACAAUAAGGCUAAAGGCUAUGCCAAUUCCAAGGGUUCCUUUGGUUUGACCAUCAGCAGCAACCGAUUCAGUUGUUUACUCUUUUCUCCCUGAUACAGUGUCUUCCCUUUACCUUAAAGAGAACGACCUUGCUAGUUCCUCUUCUUAGUCUCUUUUGAUGGUUCCUUUGUCUUAGUUUGUUCUCCACUUUCUCUCUCUUGAUGAUCUUGUCCAGUAUUAUGGGCUUUAAAUCCAUCUUCAGCCCCGACUUGUCUUUCAACUGCAACCUUAUAUAUACAAAUGCCUACUUGAUAUCUCCACUUAGAGGUUCAACAAGCAUCUGAAACUCAACAUGUCUAGAACUGAAUCUUCCUGAUCUUCCCCCAUCAUCCUUGCCCCUGUUUACCUACAGUCUUCCAAUCUGUGGUAGUUUUUAAAAAACGACUACAAAUUCUUUGAUAUUCCUCUCAUGAAAAAGUAUGGUCUAGGUUCCCUCCCCUUUAAUCUGGCUGGGCUUGGUGAUGCUUUGACCAACAGAAUACAUACAGUAGAAGUGAAACUCUAUGACUUCUGAGAUGAGGUCAUAAAAGGCUACGGAACUUCUGCUUGGUUCUCUUGGAUCACCUCCUCUUGGCAUGUUAGCUCUUGGGAUGCUCAGUCUGCAGAGCUCUCCUUGGGAAUUUGGCCUCCAUGUCGUAAGAAGUUCUAACCACCUGGAGAGACCAGCUGUGAGUACUUGGGUUGACCCAGCCUUUCAGUCAUCCCAGCCCAGAUGCCAGACACACAAGUGAAGAAACUUCCAAAUGAUUCCAGGCUCCAGCCAUUCAAGUUUCCCUCAACUGUUCAUGCAUCCCAGCCAAAGUCCCAGACAUCGUGGAGCAGAGCAACCCAUGCCCACAGUGCCCUGUCUGAAUUCCUGACCCAUAGAAUCCUAGAGUGUAAUAAAAUGGUUUAAGACACUUCCUUUGGAGUGGUUUGUUAACCCGGCAAUAGAAAACUGACACUAUCUCAAUUGAUGGAAACUUUAUCUUUCCAGUUGCACAGAUUAAAAACCUUUUUCUCUCAUCUAAACCACCUACAAAUCCUGCUGAUUCCAUCUAUCUUCAAAAUAUAUUCAGAAUUUGACCAUAGCUCACCAUCUCUACUGCUGACUGGAUCUGCAUCUCUUGAUUGGAUUUCUGCAACAGCCUUUAACAGCACCAUAUUAUUGAGCCUUUCAACUAAUCAUCAGUCGUCUAGAACUGUGCUACUGAAAAGGUGGCGCCCACACCCACUCAGCAGCCAGCAAUCAGCAUCACCUGGAGUGUGUUAAAAAUGCAGAACCUUAGCGUGCCC